rnacentral:rRNA from 1 species
ACGACCUCAACUCAAGCAAGACUACCCGCUGAACUUAAGCAUAUCAGUGAAGCGGAGGAAAAGAAACUAACU